ACUGUCUGUGGACCUCAAACAUGACACUGGCUUUUUUAAAGCAGACUCCAGAUCAGUUUCUCCUUUCCUGGUGAGUUUGAAGGAAGUGUGGUUUGGCUUUGGUCAGACUGCAGGUCAUAUCUGCCGCUGCGUACAUGCCUGUUUGCACAAGCUGCUUGUUCUCCGGCUUCUCUCUCUUACGUAACCCUCUAAAGGAGGCCAAGCAUCCAUCAAAGGCAGAAAUGGGAGAAGAUAAAGAAAGGAGAGAUGUGGGAAGGUACUUGUCACAGCAGAGCAGAAGCAUGCUUUAUAUACGACUCCUAAAAGUCCGCCAUUGUCCCCAUUGGCAUGGAACACUGGGCAGGAACAAUGAACGGUGUGUUUACUGUCAAGAUGAAUCUUUAUGGUCAAGACCAUCCCAUUACUCAGAGAGAGAGAGAAUUAAUCAGGACAGAACUGAGAUCGAAAAGCUUGCAGGAAUCUGAAGGUUGCUCUUCACAUGAAUGCACUGGCAUCCACGUUGAAUGGCUCGGAGCAUUCGGAGG